rnacentral:sRNA from 1 species
AUAAAUGGGAAUAAUAAUAGAAAUGACAU